AAAUUGAAGAGUUUGAUCAUGGCUCAGAUUGAACGCUGGCGGCAGGCCUAACACAUGCAAGUCGAACGGUAACAGGAAACAGCUUGCUGUUUCGCUGACGAGUGGCGGACGGGUGAGUAAUGUCUGGGAAACUGCCCGAUGGAGGGGGAUAACUACUGGAAACGGUAGCUAAUACCGCAUAACGUCGCAAGACCAAAGAGGGGGACCUUCGGGCCUCUUGCUAUCGGAUGUGCCCAGAUGGGAUUAGCUAGUAGGUGGGGUAACGGCUCACCUAGGCGACGAUCCCUAGCUGGUCUGAGAGGAUGACCAGCCACACUGGAACUGAGACACGGUCCAGACUCCUACGGGAGGCAGCAGUGGGGAAUAUUGCACAAUGGGCGCAAGCCUGAUGCAGCCAUGCCGCGUGUAUGAAGAAGGCCUUCGGGUUGUAAAGUACUUUCAGCGGGGAGGAAGGGAGUAAAGUUAAUACCUUUACUCAUUGACGUUACCCGCAGAAGAAGCACCGGCUAACUCCGUGCCAGCAGCCGCGGUAAUACGGAGGGUGCAAGCGUUAAUCGGAAUUACUGGGCGUAAAGCGCACG
rnacentral:rRNA from 1 species